GUAGACGCUGGCGGCGUGCUUAACACAUGCAAGUCGAACGAUGAUCCGGUGCUUGCAUCGGGGAUUAGUGGCGAACGGGUGAGUAACACGUGAGUAACCUGCCCUUGACUCUGGGAUAAGCCUGGGAAACUGGGUCUAAUACCGGAUAUGACUGCUCCGCGCAUGCGGUGGUGGUGGAAAGCUUUUGCGGUUUUGGAUGGACUCGCGGCCUAUCAGCUUGUUGGUGGGGUAAUGGCCUACCAAGGCGACGACGGGUAGCCGGCCUGAGAGGGUGACCGGCCACACUGGGACUGAGACACGGCCCAGACUCCUACGGGAGGCAGCAGUGGGGAAUAUUGCACAAUGGGCGAAAGCCUGAUGCAGCGACGCCGCGUGAGGGAUGACGGCCUUCGGGUUGUAAACCUCUUUCAGUAGGGAAGAAGCGAAAGUGACGGUACCUGCAGAAGAAGCGCCGGCUAACUACGUGCCAGCACCGGGG
rnacentral:rRNA from 1 species